AACUCCAUUUCAAUGAAACCACUGCCUAUUUGUACUUUCUCCUGAAAGUUUUCUUUUCAUUUCAGUGGCUGGAUCAGUCAUGACAAAAUGUCACCAAUGCUAAAAGGGAAAUAAUGUAUUUAAAAAAUGUAAAGCAGCCAGUAGGAUGCAUUGGAGGCUUCAGACUGUUGAGUGAAAAAGGAAGUUAUGGCUUACAAGAACAAUGAAUGUAUGUGAACCACUGGAAGAAUAGCUGCAUCCCCAGAAUAACACUUCUAAGGAUCCACACACAUCAAAUGAGCCAAUAAAAGGAUGGAUGUGAAAAACUGGAGAGCCAAAAAGAUAAAAGAGAGGCUUGGAAUUGCAGAAAGGAGACUGCAGACCAACAUGCUUCACUGGAUCAGCUCUGUAUCAGAUGUACCAGCCGCGGGAAAACCUAUCUGACUUAACAUUAAAGAUGUCACUUCUGCUUCUGGCACCCAGGAAGACCUCACUUCUGCUUCCAGGACCCAGAAAGACGGCACUUCCGGUCCUGGCACCCAAAAAGACAUCACUUCCAGUUCCAACCCAUAAGAUGACGUCAAAAGAAGGUCACUUUCGGUUCCCAUACGUCAAUUCCAGCUCAGAGAAGACAAUCACUGAGGGCAAAUCACUGAGGGCAAAUGGCCGCGCCCCUUCAGGUAUGAGAGAUAUUAAAGUGAUGUGCACUCGAAAGCUGGUGUCUCAUUCGGGAGAUGAGUUAAUUGCAUUGCGGAGCUCCGACCCCAUGACUGGACCACUCUCCACAGUCUAUCAUUUUGAAGCCUGCCUGUUAUUUUUUUGCAAGUCAAUGGGGUGGCCCAGCUGGCACCCCAACAUUUUUUUUCGAGACUUCUCUUUCCCUUGACCAAUUACAGCAGGUAUGACAGCAUAAUUAUGCCAUGGCUACAAAUGGGUUAAAUUGGUUGUGAUGUUCAUAGGCUUGAGUCCAAAAGAGAACUGACUGUAAAAUGAAAAGAUGGCGGCUUUAAACACCGAGGAAGUGACGUUAUCGGAACCGGAAGUGACGUCUUCUGGAUUGGAAGUGACGUCAUCCAUGGCGUGGUAGUACUAAUCUUAAAGUCUUUCAGCUGUCUCCCAAUCGCACAUGUGUGACAGUGGUAAUUGAGGCAGAAGGUGCUGGAUGGCACUGACCCAUUUGUGGAGUGACAUGACAUGUUCAUCCCUUCCAGAGCCAGUUCUGUAUUGUGCACUGUAGUUUCCAAAGGUUUAAGCAACAUUAAUCUAUAACAGUAAUCUCUUCCUGCUGCAUCUGUAUUCAGUGAGGGCUUAUGUUUGAGUUAAUUGAUUUUUGGUUACAUUUUAGUGUUAUGCAGUUGCAUUUGGAGUGAGUGGGUUCAGCAAAUUAAACAUCUAGAUUUGGGAAUGUGUUGUUUAAUUAUUAGGUGUGUUUGCAUAUAACUGUGAUGCAGCGUGUCAGGGAUCCAUGGCUGUGCAAAGUAUUUUAAAAACAGUGAGGCUCAUUCUUUGUGGGUGAAGUCAGAAAGUUGAGCGACCCCAGGGUGUUUAAUGGGGAAAUUGGCAGAUUGCUCAUUGACAUGCAAGCAUUCCUCAUUGAUGCUCCAUGGGUUUUUUAAAAAACACCUACACUCGCAAGGAUAAAAAGGGUCUGACUAGCAAGAACAGGGUGAAAAAGAGAAAUCAAGAAAGGAAGGAUCAAGAAUGAGUGAAAAUGAAAAAAUCAAAGAGGGAGGAAGAGAAAGGGUGUCAGGAUCAGGUGUUUGAGAUGGUGUGGAGAAGAAGAGGCGAGGUGGUCAGGAUGUCCCAUGGGGAGCGAGAGGAAUGUCACUCCAGGUGUUGGGUUGCUCCUGUUCAGCAUUAAGAGUAGUGGGAUCAGCCGAUAUCCCCCUGAUUCAUACUACUUGUGCCAAAGGAUGAUAGUGAGAUGAGGGACCCGGGAUUGGUGGGUUUCUACAUGGUUGGUUGGGGGCUGAAGUUAAUUGGCCAUGCUCACUGGUGUCUCAGCCUGCUGAGAAGACCAGGACAGUGAGUAGGCAAGACAAGGUAGAGAGAAAAUAAAGAAUAAACUCCCAACGAGACUUUUUUUUUCUCUGCACUAACCCACCGCCUUUUAUCUGUCUUGACUCCCGGCUCGUGUGCAGUAAUUACCACUCCAUCGCUGCCUCAAUGUUAAUUUUCGUAUUAAGCAGUUUCAUGCAUUCACGUGUACAUCUUGGAUCCAGCAUGAGUUAAAUUGAUGAGUUAUGGUAAAACCCACUAAAAGCACUCAUAAAUUAAUCCAUUAUAACAUUCCCAAUCUCAUCUCACCAUAGUAGGUUCAAGUUCAAAGCAAAUAAUCUUUUUAGCUUACAGACCCGAGGGAGACAUGUUGCUCAGGAGUCAGUUAAUUAUCAGAAAGAGUGGAGGCACCUGGUAAUUCUUGCCAACAUGUAGUCCAUGCACAUCAUGGAAGAGGGGAAUGGAUACAGAGCAUAACCAGUUUGGACACGCUUCUUGCCUGAUAAAAUCCAUUGACCUGGGCAUGUGGCUCCCAACAAGUCCUGGGUACUAUAGUGGCUUUUGAUUAGCUCAUGGAGUUUGCAGAACUGGCAGAUGAUGGUGCCUCUGACAGAUGAGUGGUGUGAAUGUACAGGUAGUGGAUGAGGCAGACAAGAAAAUGCUGACCUGCAUGGAAGGAGAUUGGAGUGGUGACUGUAGCCAAGGAAAAGAUGGUGGUGUCAUCCAUCAAAGAUCUAAUGAUCCUUUUAAGGUGUGUCUACUAAUAUGUAGCCCAUGUACAUCAUGGAAGAGGGGAAUGGAUACAGAGCAUAACCAGUUUGGACAUGCUUCUUGCCUGGUAAAAUCCAUUGGCCUGGGCAUGUGGCUCCCAACAAGUCCUGGGUAGUAUAGUGGCUAGCAUUGUUUCAGCACUAGAUCCAUUAUGCCUGUCUCCCAACCACUUCCUUUUAUAAUGCAAUAUUUGAUCACAAUGGUCUUAUAUUCUGCCUGCAGCAUGUGCAAUCUUAAAUGUGCAUACAGCUAAUUGCAUUUUUGUUAUGUUGGCUUGGGUUUAAUGCAUUUCUGUGGUUAACUCUAUUAUCUGUGCUUUAGCUCAUCUGCUAGACUGUGUUGUGAUUUAUCUCACAAUCAACUAAAGUGGUGUGUGACCUUCAAAAAAAUAAACCCAGAAAGCAAACUGGAAUUCCACCAGCCUUUUCAGAGGAAGUACAUCAAAAGUCAGCCUAGCUUACAUUUAAGUUACUGGCUUUGACCUACACCUGGAAAAAUAUGCUUCACUCUCAAAGUUCAAAAAUGUAUUCUUUAAUAUCCUAAAACACACUGAAAAUGUCCCACAAGGGAGAGGAUCACCGUCAACCACUGGCUCAUACAAAAUAAGGCCAUGAGAAAUCCUUAUAAAGGAGGAUUUAUUGUGUGGAAAAAAAGUUCAAAUAGCACAAUUUAUCAAAGAAGGACUCGUGUAAAAGUCAAUCUGAGUUCCAAAUUGAAAUCCAUAAGAAUAAUACAAGUAACAGUAGCAAAAUUUCAAGCACCAAAGCGAAAAUCAAGGAAAAUCACAAUACUCACAAGAACUGCCAAAAUCUAACAGAUUGCAUUCAAAUGAACCACAAGAACUUACUAUUCCAGCCUGCAUUUAAAGUCUGGAGGCACCCCCUAACAAAUAGGUAAGGGUGGUCCCACCUCUUGGUGUUCCAGCCACAAAAUUAUAAAUAUAGCAGAACAUUUUUCUCACAUAUAGAUACUGAGCAUACAUUUUAUAUGACUAGACCAUUUGUAAACAUACAUAAUAAUAUUCACAUAAAUGCUAGUAAUAAUAAAUAGACAAAAAGACUUAAAAAAGGAAUUUAAACAUAAGCCAGGAGAGGAACCUGUUCAUAAGGGCACUUACGUCUUGUUAUGAACUUUCUCUUCAAUCGUGCCUGAUUGAUUAGAGCAUUAGCAUUGCUUCCAUUCAUUUAUUUUAAAAUCUCUUGACAUUAGACUGCAGAAGCAAGGCUGGAUUCAGUUUUAUAUUGAAAGCUGAUAUUGACUCGUGCCCACCCACAGAAAUCCAAAUGCCUGGCGAAAGAUUUGUCUUUGCAAAAACAUGCAAUAUUUCUGUGAAGUGACACAGUAUUAUAAGAAUAAGUUUAAGUAGUAAUACAGUAACACAUAUCUUUUUUAAAAUAACACAGGUAUUUUCACUUCAAUAAAAUAGGUGCUAUGUUGGUAUACUUGUUACUUAAAAUGGCAUAUUGUGCACAACAAUUAAUUAAUUUGCCAUAAUAUGAACAGAGAAACUUUAUAUAUCAGUCUAUGAAGGCUUGUUACAGCAUACACAGUAAACAGUAAGACUACAAGGCUUUGCCCACAAGAGUACACCUGGGGAUCGGUCUGUCCUUGAGGUUAUCACACCAAAUUCCUGCAUGGAAGGAAAAUUGUUUUAGGAGUUUAUCUAAUGGAUGAAAUUGAAAUUCUGCACAUUUUAUUUUAGUACUUAAAAAUAGUUCAUGAUGAGUACUUUAUAAGUACUGUCAUAUUUAUAAUGUAAAUUUAAAUAAAAUUAUUCUAAUACAGCAAAUCAAAGUUCAUUUUCGAUUACUUAUAGUAAGCUAAACAGACUUUUUGUGGUAAAGUAAAAAUAAAAAAGACCUGUUUUGCCUGUUGUGUAAUAAGAUAGUCAUGUGAUUUAUUAAAUACAGUGGUUUUAGAAAGUUUUCAGACUCCUUCAUAUGCUGCACACUUUAUUGUGUUGUACAUAUAAUUUUAAAUGGAUACAUUGCAUUUUUUGUCCAUCAAUUUACACUGAAUAACUCAUAAUAACAAAGUAAAAACGUGUUUUCAGAGAGGUUUACAAAUUUAUUAAAACUCUCUCAUUCAUAUAAAUAUUCACACCCUUAAUUUCAGCUUCCACUCUUCUUACAUAAGUCUCUACAAGCUUUGCACAACUGGAUUUGAGCAGUUUAUCCCGUUCUUCCUGGCAUAUCCUUUCAAGCUCUGUUAGAUUGGAUGGGUCAUUCCACAGAUGUCCUAUGGGAUUUAAGUCCAGGCCUUGGCUGGGCCACUCAAGGACAGUCAGAGACUUACUCCGAAGCAUCUCCAGCAUAGUCUUCGCUGCAAGCUUCAGGUCAAUGUAGUCCUAUCAAUUAUGGAGAAUCCACUGCAUCCACUUAAUAGUAUCAUCUCCAGACAGAAGAGCAGCUUCAGCGACAGACUGCUGUCACUGUCCUGCUCCACUGACAGAUUGAGGAGAUCGUUCCUCCCCCAAACUAUGCGACUCUUUAAUUCCAUCCGGGGGGGUAAACGUUAACAUUUAACAUUAUACAUAGUUAUUGUCUGUUUUUCACCUGCAUUAUUAUCAUUCUUUAAUUUAAUAUUAUUUAUUGUAUCAGUAUGCUGCUGCUGAA